rnacentral:tRNA from 1 species
AGUCCAGCGGUAUCACCCCUGAUUCAAAAGCCACAAGUUGUGGGUUCGAGUCCA